CGAGCACGCGCGUGUGGCAUAUCAAUAAGCGGAGGAAAAGAAACUAACUAGGAUUCCCUCAGUAACGGCGAGUGAAGCGGGAAGAGCUCAAAUUUGAAAUCUUCAAGGUUUUACCUUGACGAAUUGUAGUUUAAAGAAGUGUUUUCUGUUAGAGAGGUAGGUAAAAGUUCUUUGGAAUAGGACAUCAUAGAGGGUGAGAAUCCCGUAUUUGACGAUUCUUUCUAGCUUUGUGAUACACUUUCAAAGAGUCGGAUUGUUUGGGAAUGCAGUCCAAAAUGGGUGGUAAAUUUCAUCUAAAGCUAAAUAUUGGCGAGAGACCGAUAGCGAACAAGUACCGUGAGGGAAAGAUGAAAAGAACUUUGAAAAGAGAGUUAAACAGUACGUGAAAUUGUCAAAAGGGAAGCGUUUGACACCAGUGUUGUUUUCCCGAAAAUCAAUUACGAAUGUUUUAGUUUUUGAGGAGUUAUGACUUCAUCGGCUUGCUCCUUUCUUUAUGAAACUUUCUUAUGCACUUUUCGGUUAACAAGUCAACAUCAAUUUCUUUUGUUGUAAAAGGGUAUGAGGAAGGUGGCUUUCUUUUCGGAGAAAGUGUUUAUAGCCUUGUAGCCUCUGCAAUCGGAGAGAUUGAGGUCUGCAGCGUAGAUCCUUCGGGGUUAGAUACGUUUGUGCUAAGUUAUAGCUUUUCAUAGACAACUUGUUGACUAUGUUUAGUCUUGUAGCUUACUCGCUGACGCUAUUUUACCUACGCUUAGGAUGUUGAUGUGAUACUGCGAGCA
rnacentral:rRNA from 1 species